UACGUAGGUGGCGAACGUUAUCCGGAUUUACUGGGCGUAAAGGGCGCGCAGGCGGCUCAUUUUGUCAGGCGUGAAAGCCCCGGGCUUAACCUGGGAACUGCGUUUGAUACGGGUGGGCUAGAGUUCGGGAGAGGAGCGUGGAAUUCCCAGUGUAGAGGUGAAAUUCGUAGAUAUUGGGAAGAACACCGGUGGCGAAGGCGGCGCUCUGGACCGAGACUGACGCUGAGGCGCGAAAGCGUGGGGAGCAAACAGG
rnacentral:rRNA from 1 species